ensembl:snRNA U6 U6 spliceosomal RNA
GUGCUCGCUUCGGCAGCACAUAUACUAAAAUUGAAAUGAUACAGAGAAGAUUAGCAUGGCCCCU